GAUUAUGGCUCAGGAUGAACGCUGGCGGCGUGCCUAACACAUGCAAGUCGAACGGGGUUAAGGGAAAUUUCGGAUGGAACUUAACUAGUGGCGGACGGGUGAGUAACGCGUGGAUAACCUGCCUCACACUGGGGGAUAGCAGCUGGAAACGGCUGGUAAUACCGCAUAAGACCACGAUGCCGCAUGGCACCGGGGUAAAAGAUUUAUCGGUGUGAGAUGGAUCCGCGUCUGAUUAGCCAGUUGGCGGGUAACGGCCCACCAAAGCGACGAUCAGUAGCCGGCCUGAGAGGGUGAACGGCCACAUUGGGACUGAGACACGGCCCAAACUCCUACGGGAGGCAGCAGUGGGGAAUAUUGCACAAUGGGCGCAAGCCUGAUGCAGCAAACCGCCGCGUGAGUGAAGAAGUAUUUCGGUAUGUAAAGCUCCAUCGGCAGGGAAGAAAGGCCCGAAAGGGAGAUGGCGGUACCUGACUAAGAAGCCCCGGCUAACUACGUGCCAGCCGCCGC
rnacentral:rRNA from 1 species